rnacentral:rRNA from 1 species
GCGGUAAUACGGAAGGUCCGGGCGUUAUCCGGAUUUAUUGGGUUUAAAGGGAGCGCAGGCUGAUUGUUAAGCGUGACGUGAAAUGUAGCCGCUCAACGGCUGAACUGCGUCGCGAACUGGCAGUCUUGAGUGAGUACGACGUCAGCGGAAUUCGUGGUGUAGCGGUGAAAUGCUUAGAUAUCACGAAGAACCCCGAUUGCGAAGGCAGCUGACGAGUCCUUUACUGACGCUAAAGCUCGAAGGUGCGGGUAUCGAACAGGAUUAGAUACCCUGGUAGUCCGCACGGUAAACGAUGGAUGCCCGCUGUUGGCGAUACAAUGUCAGCGGCCAAGCGAAAGCGUUAAGCAUCCCACCUGGGGAGUACGCCGGCAACGGGUGAAACUCAAAAGGAAUUGACGGGGGCCCGCACAAGCGGAGGAACAUGUGGUUUAAUUCGAUGAUACGCGAGGAACCUUACCGGGCUUGAACUGCCAACGUACGAUCAAGAGAUUAUGAAG